CCCCAUCCGGCGGCUCUCGGUGCUGCGUCUGCCGCUUGUGCUUCAUGCGCCGGUUCUGGAACCAGACUUUGACCUGCCUUUCGGUGAGGUCCAGCAAGGCCGCGAUCUCCACGCGGCGUGGCCGGCACAGAGUUGGGGCAGAAAGGACCGAAUCUUUUCCUGCUUCUAGAGUCUAUCCCAGCAACAACAUACUCAUUUCCCUACACAGCUGCCCCUCACCCCACCCCCACUACGCUUACCGACCUGCAGGCGAUCCGACCCCGGAGGCCGGGACGGCGGAGGCGGCCGGAGAAGGAGACGUGGCGGAUUGGCUGGGUUUCUUGGCGGAUUUCUUCUCUUUCAUCCAAGGGAACUCGGGGGCCGGGGGGGCAGCGGGGAGCGGCGGCGGCGGUGGCGGCGGCAGAGCAGGCCCAUCUUCGGCUCGCUUUUGGCUCCUGGGUCUCUGAAGGGUGGAGGCGCCGGGCUGGAGGCUGGGGAAGGUUUGCUCGAAAGGAGGAGGAGGAGGAAUUAAUGUCGACUCCUUGAUUGAUGAAGUUUGAAAUGUCUCCAAGACAGCGGGGAAGGAAGUCAGACACUCGGCGAGCGAUGGCUGGCUGUUUAUAAACCCAAUCUCCCUCUCAAAUUCAAAAUUCAUGGCUUUCAGUGGUGGGGGAGGGGGCUGCUGGGGGGGGCGUCAGGAGGGAGGAUCGGAAGGGACCCCCCCUCCUGCCCCCCCCUAGAUUUAUGUAAUGGAGCGAUUUUGGGAGGGGGAGAUUUCGGUCUCUUUUUUUUUUUAAUUUUGGGCCUUUAUAAUUGUAUAUUGCUGAUAAAUACAAGCGUAUGGGGACUCUCUCUAUUAAACCCAGGACUCCAGCGAAAUUACAGGGAAUUCGUGGUCACGGGACCGGCCUCCGCCAAUCACUCGUCUGGGCCUGGUGGAAAACAGAGAGCAUUAUUUGGUUUAAUUGAUUCAAAAACACCAGAGGACCACGACCUGGACACCAUGAGCCCCCAUUCCUACACCAUUGCCUCACACGCUCUCUCCCCAAUGCCUCCAUUUCUCUAGAAAAGCUAGAGGAAUCUUUUCCUCAUCCCCUUCGAAGGUUAGAAGGUUUCAGAAGCCUGGAAAAGAAGAGACUCUAAGGGAGAAAACUUCCUCUUUUCCAAGUAUUUUAAUAGAGUAAAUUAAGUCUUUCUUUACGUGGCCAGCAGCAUCCCCUUCCCUUCUCCCCUUCCCCAAGAAAAGAUGAGUGAGGAUCUCCGCGUUGGAGGAAGAGGGAGUCGAAAGAGGCUUCCACUCUUUGAAAAAGGUCAGUGUUAAGGUGCAAAUAAGAAAGAGAUUUACAAUCAUCAGCACCACCAUCCCUGUUACCCUCCAAAAGCAACAGUUAAAUCUUGGGAAAUGGACAGGAACUCCCAGGCGGACACAUAGGAGUGAGAUGGAGCAUGAGGGGCAUUUUUGGGCCUCUGGCCUCCAUCGCUGUAUGGCCUGGGUUCUCUUCUCUGCCCAGUGUUUGCAGCACUGCCCCUGCCCCUUAUAUACCCCUGCUUUCCUCACUUUCAGGCUUCCAUGCUUCUCUGUGACAUCCCCCUCCCCUCCAAAAACAGGCAGAGUCUAAGAUGUGCAUGUACCCACUCAAGCCUCAAGCUUGUAUCUGUAUCCAUAUCCAGGGACAUGAACAAGAACUGAGCCAGGAGGAGAAGGCUGGUUAGCAGAGAAAUGGCAACUGAGCCCGGAGCUGGAACUAGAAACUCUGUCAAUGUAACAUCUGCGUGGGUGGUGACCCAAUGGUGGUUGGGCUUCAGGUCACGUGACAACUUCUUUGUAGCUCCGGAAGAGGACUGCGAAGUUUAGGAUAAUUGAGGAAAAAAAAUCAAGAUUUUGGGGGAAUUACCUACAAAGAUGUAAGGUGUGUUAAUUUGGGCGCUUCUUGGAUUCUACCCUGAGGAGGAGGCGCGUGGUGAGAGGAGAGGUCUGUGUAGGUGGGGUGGGGGUCGCAGGGUCCGUGGUGCUGGCUGGGCGCCAUAGGGGGCGCCCCGUUGUAGUCCAGGUUCCCGGAAGGGUGAUGAGAAAGGUGGUUGAGGCCAUAGAGGGAGGGGCCGGCAGGGGGCGGCAGCGGAUCCGCGUAGCCGCCCCCGCCCACGUACGGCGGACUGCCCUGCAUGGUGGGCGUCCCGUAGGCGCCCCCGUUGGCUUGGAGGACGUGCGGCUCAUACUCGGGCGCCGGGGUCGGAGGGUACUUCUGCGGGGCGCCGCAGCCUUUGAGAGGUGGCUGGUAGUUGGAGGGCAGCGCGUAGGCAUUCUGGUGGGCUUUACCGAAGGCGGGUGGGGACGGGCUCUCGUAGCUGGGGGUCAUGGAGUGUAAGGCGUUCAUGAAGCCGGCCGUGGACUGCAUGGGCUGCGGGGGGCUGCCGGCUGGAGAUGGGCCCCCCGAGGACGAGGCCAAUCCCUUGGCCUUCUGGUCUUUCUUGUACUUCAUGCGCCUGUUCUGGAACCAGAUCUUGAUCUGCCGCUCGCUGAGGUUCAGCAGGUUGGCCAUCUCCACACGGCGAGGCCGGCACAGGUAGCGGUUAAAAUGGAACUCCUUCUCCAGCUCCACCAGCUGCGCGCUGGUGUACGCCGUCCGCGCCCGCUUGGACGCCGCCGACCCCGGGGGGCUCUUGUCCCCUCCCCCGCCGCCGCCGCCGCCACCGCCCCCGCUGCCACCGCUGCCUCCGCCGCCGCCACCGCCGCCGCCACCACAGCCCUCUGCUGGAUCCGAGAGGGAGGGGUGGGAAGGGGAGAAAAUGAAAUAAAAGAUAAUUACUGAACACGCCG